rnacentral:rRNA from 1 species
GAUGAACGCUGGCGGCGUGCCUAAUACAUGCAAGUCGAGCGAACAGACGAGGAGCUUGCUCCUCUGAUGUUAGCGGCGGACGGGUGAGUAACACGUGGAUAACCUACCUAUAAGACUGGGAUAACUUCGGGAAACCGGAGCUAAUACCGGAUAACAUGUUGAACCGCAUGGUUCAACAGUGAAAGACGGUCUUGCUGUCACUUAUAGAUGGAUCCGCGCCGCAUUAGCUAGUUGGUAAGGUAACGGCUUACCAAGGCAACGAUGCGUAGCCGACCUGAGAGGGUGAUCGGCCACACUGGAACUGAGACACGGUCCAGACUCCUACGGGAGGCAGCAGUAGGGAAUCUUCCGCAAUGGGCGAAAGCCUGACGGAGCAACGCCGCGUGAGUGAAGAAGGUCUUCGGAUCGUAAAACUCUGUUAUUAGGGAAGAACAAAUGUGUAAGUAACCAUGCACGUCUUGACGGUACCUAAUCAGAAAGCCACGGCUAACUACGUG